rnacentral:tRNA from 1 species
UGUUCUGUGGCGGAGUUCGUGAACGCGCCCUGUCUAGCGAACUUGGGGAGACGUGGGUUCAAAUCCCACCAGAACUA